GUUUUGUUUUAACCAAUGAAUUUUAUCUCCAUAAUAGCUAGGUGGUUUAAGCUAAAAUUUUAAUAUAGAAUUGUUAAUUCAUGAAUCGACUUAGGAGAAAAAUUUAAAAUUUUUUGGAUGAAAUUUUCUAGGAUAAAUAAUUAGUGGUAUGGGGCUAUUGCAAAAGGAAAAGAAGUAGAGGCUGCUUCGCCCUCUCCUCUCUUUCUUUUAUCUCCCCAUCA
rnacentral:lncRNA from 1 species